rnacentral:rRNA from 1 species
AGUGAACGCUGGCGGUAGGCCUAACACAUGCAAGUCGAACGGCAGCACAGUAAGAGCUUGCUCUUACGGGUGGCGAGUGGCGGACGGGUGAGGAAUACAUCGGAAUCUACUUUUUCGUGGGGGAUAACGUAGGGAAACUUACGCUAAUACCGCAUACGACCUACGGGUGAAAGCAGGGGAUCUUCGGACCUUGCGCGAUUGAAUGAGCCGAUGUCGGAUUAGCUAGUUGGCGGGGUAAAGGCCCACCAAGGCGACGAUCCGUGGCUGGUCUGAGAGGAUGAUCAGCAACACUGGAACUGAGACACGGUCCAGACUCCUACGGGAGGCAGCAGAGGGGAAUAUUGGACAAUGGGCGCAAGCCUGAUCCAGCCAUACCGCGUGGGUGAAGAAGGCCUUCGGGUUGUAAAGCCCUUUUGUUGGGAAAGAAAAGCAGCAGGUUAAUACCCCGCUGUUCUGACGGUACCCAAAGAAUAAGCACCGGCUAACUUCGUG